AUGUUGUCAACGACCUCCUACCUUUACAGGUUGUCGCCACGCGCCAUGUUAGACAGUGCAAUGGCUGCCAAAGCCCGCCAGGUACUGAGUCGUAACGCAGCUGCAUCCCAACCCAAGACAACCCCCCAGCAGCAGAACCCUGUCCCCCUCCCCGAGUCUGCGGCCAGUCUCGACUGGUCAAACUUGGUCAACGUAGCCACAAAGGCCAUUGAAAGUACUGACAACACUAAAGCUCCGGGUCCAUCUGUAAGGGAUCCAAAGGACAGAGCUUUGCCCCCAGAACCAAGUAAAACUGGAGUCAGCAGAACUACUACUGGUAGUAGCUAUACAAAACCUCCAACGAGUCAAUCUCAGGGAUCUGUGUGGAGGUCAACUGUAUCCAAUCCUCAACAGAGAAUCCAGGAGCUGGAGGCUAAAGUAGAACAGCUGGAGAUAGAUCUAGAUAAGGAAAGAAAGGAAAAUGCAGAUUUGGAGGCAGAAGUUCAGUCUUUGAGGAGAGAUAACAUUCGCCUCCAGGAGGAGUCCCAGACUGCUGCAGCUCAGCUUCGGAAGUUUACAGAGUGGUUUUUCCAGACAAUAGAUAGGCAGUGAUCAUCUGUGACUAAGCAUUGCUCUGAAAAGGGAAAUCACUCUGUAAAAUGCCAGUGAAGUUCUUCAGUGAUAUUUUAUGUGAUAAUGUUUUGUUAUGAAGUUUUGAAAUCCAUGACUCAUUGAGAUACUUGAAGUUUGUAUCCCAUUGUGAUCAAAUGUGUUUUCCAACAAGAGAGGAGCAUUACUGUUUCUUGAGUGUUCAUUUAUAUUAAUCAUGUACAACCAGUUUGUUGGAUCUUUUAUUGUGGUGCAUCAAUUCUGAAUAUCCCCUUGUUUUGUAUUAUUAGUUUAUCCUAUAUGAAUAGUUAAUAGAGAUUCACCAGUAGCUGGUGGUUUGUUGACAUUUCUUAAGCAUUACUGUUGAAUACUCUUAUUGUGGUAUCACUUUGUUAAUGAAAUUAAAUUAUUUCUGAUUUGAUCAAUAUCAUAUAUUGCAUAUCACAGAUGGCGAAUUUAGAUUCACUUACAUAUAAAUGGUUGUGCACUGCAAGUGAUAUUUUGUAAUGAAGCAAAAACCAAAUUUUGCUCUCCAUAUUAAAGAUAUUUGUAAUAUUUACAUUUUUUGUGAAUGUACAUUUUAAAAAGUCUUUCUAUUGAUUGAAAAAAGUUUCACUCGAGGUAAUUUUUUAUUCGUCGGGUCAUUAUUCCUCUAAACUUUAAAAAAAAUAUGAUUUGUGUAGAGUUACUUUUGUCAAUUCGUACACGACUAAUUUCUAUGUUUUAAUUAUGAAAUGUCUAUCAGUAUUUUCAAUGUAUCCAAUGAAACACACCAUCAAGAAAUACCCAGGUUACGAUUUGUAAAUAAUAACGAAAUAUCUAGUCAGCUGAUUAUCACCAAUUCAUUGUGGACUACUGUUUCACAUUUUACGUAUAUUUAUGAUGAUUUCACCACUAUAGUCUUGUGAUGCUUGCACAAGUGUGCACCAUUCCAUGUCACCACAUUACAAGUGUCCUUCCAAAACAUGUCAACCAUUUCUCUUAAACUAUAUAGCCAUAUUUAUUUUCAUUUUUAAAUAUGUUUUAUCAUGUACGGUAUCUAUAUUUUGUAUAUAUAUAUAUAUUAAUGUAAAUGUUUAUCUCCUUAAAAAGAAAAAAUUAUAAUAAAUUAUUAUGAUAAAA
rnacentral:misc_RNA from 1 species